UGUAGGGUUUCCAUUUCCAUGUCAUGGAGCUCGCCGACAAAACACGGGCACACCCAGCCCCUGCCUGGCUUUGGCAGGGACGGGCGCUGCCAGCCCGCUCCCGAAGCUGUUCUCCUGCAAAAAACCUGCCUGGGUCCAAGCCCUGCUCCACUUCACGUCCAGGCAGCGCAGUGCCAAGGGUUUCAGCCUGUCUGUUGAGCUCUAGUCUGUGCACAGAGAAACACAUCACCAACAUCUUAAAGUCAAUUGAGUUGCUUUGACUGAUGCUCAAGCAAAGCGUAGCUUGCUGGUCUAAGCUAAAGUGCUCAGCGCUGCUCAGUCUGCAAAUCCAAGGAUGACAGAACUGCAAAUAUUUGGAAGAUGCUGGCAGGCAAAUCCAGAGGGCACUCUCUCAACUGAACUUUCUCCUCUGUGUAAGUACACGCUGAUAGGGAGCUUUUUGAUCGGAUGAAGUGAAAGCAUGUUAAUGUGCUCCACUCAAUGAUAGGGAUUAUCCUUUAGAAAGAGAGGCGGCUGGCAUCCAUCUGUUUCCUGCAGCAGGUAUCUGCAUAUUAUCUGUCCUGACAGAUCACAUCCAAUCCUUGAGAUUGCACGCUUUAUGGAAAUUACAGGAAUCGUGCAAGUUCAGGAUUAAGACUGAAACGCUCAUUUUCUCUGUAGAAAUCCCUGUAAAACUUUACCUUGAUGAACAGUGGGCUUUUGAGGUGUGGUUCAAUCAGACAGUCGUGUGCCCAUGAACCAUCUUCCAAAAUUCCAUUUCCAAGCCUCAGCCUUUGCUUCAUCGGCUUAAACUGGGAAUUUAGGCAAUGACCACGUUACCAUUUUUUUCCUGACAUUCUAGUUAUUACUUCUACGGGUUGGUAUGCACUGUCGGAACAUUCACAGCACAGAGGACACCAACCACCAGCUGAAUUUACAUCUCCAGAUCUGAAAUUAAUUUACAUAUGCGUGUGUGUGCCUGCAUGCUGAUGACACACGGAGAAUUUUAUCCAUUUAACAUUUGCUUUUCUAUACUCAACAGUUCUGCAUGAUACCUGAAGCUCCCACAGUUAUUGCUGCACGGGGGCACCCAACUUCGCUGACAAGUGAGGAGAAACUACUCAAGUUGUGAUGGAGAAAAAAAUAAAAUGUAGGGGCUGAGGUCCCA
rnacentral:lncRNA from 1 species